rnacentral:rRNA from 1 species
UAGUGGCGAACGGGUGAGUAACACGUGGGCAAUCUGCCCUUCACUCUGGGACAAGCCCUGGAAACGGGGUCUAAUACCGGAUAACACUCUGUCCCGCAUGGGACGGGGUUGAAAGCUCCGGCGGUGAAGGAUGAGCCCGCGGCCUAUCAGCUUGUUGGUGGGGUGAUGGCCUACCAAGGCGACGACGGGUAGCCGGCCUGAGAGGGCGACCGGCCACACUGGGACUGAGACACGGCCCAGACUCCUACGGGAGGCAGCAGUGGGGAAUAUUGCACAAUGGGCGCAAGCCUGAUGCAGCGACGCCGCGUGAGGGAUGACGGCCUUCGGGUUGUAAACCUCUUUCAGCAGGGAAGAAGCGCAAGUGACGGUACCUGCAGAAGAAGCGCCGGCUAACUACGUGCCAGCAGCCGCGGUAAUACGUAGGGCGCAAGCGUUGUCCGGAAUUAUUGGGCGUAAAGAGCUCGUAGGCGGCUUGUCGCGUCGGUUGUGAAAGCCCGGGGCUUAACCCCGGGUCUGCAGUCGAUACGGGCAGGCUAGAGUGUGGUAGGGGAGAUCGGAAUUCCUGGUGUAGCGGUGAAAUGCGCAGAUAUCAGGAGGAACACCGGUGGCGAAGGCGGAUCUCUGGGCCAUUACUGACGCUGAGGAGCGAAAGCGUGGGGAGCGAACAGGAUUAGAUACCCUGGUAGUCCACGCCGUAAACGUUGGGAACUAGGUGUUGGC